rnacentral:misc_RNA from 1 species
CAUUUUUUAAACUGGUAUUCCAAUCAAAAAUCAUCUAACACAAUGUUCGACGGAUUGAGUAAAAAUCCCCAAUGACGCAAGCUUAACGUAAGCAUUUGGUCUCGAAUACAACAGAUGGCGCCAUUGCUAAUUCAUGAAUGGCAAUAUCCUGAAUGGCUGAAAUGUCAUUCAAGAAAUAACCUAUCACGAGGAGAAACGGUUUCAGACGCUUGCCUGCAUCGAUUUGCAACCCUUUGCCUUGAGCACACAGCACGGAUUAAUGCCCGGUAAAUGGAUAAAGAGAAGAUGCCCGAAGUGUAAGUGGUUCUGUAUAUUCUGCGGUUUCCGUGGUUUCAACAUGAAUUUUGGUUGUGCACUUCGGGCGGUAGGUGGCAAACGAAUUCAACAAAUAACAGCGGGUCUGUUGCUGGAAGCAAUUUGCAGAACGAUUCCAAGGUGAUCGUAGCAUCAACGUCCAACCCUAAUUCUUCAGCAACCGCAGCAGUCACUGGUGCAACCGUUGUGACUUCACCAUCUAGCACUCCCACCCAAGCCACCUACUAUCUUAUAUACCACAAUGGAUUUCAACUAAGUAUUCCACCGAAUACAGUGCCACCACCAUUUACACCUGCGCAUUUUACCAGUACGACCAACUCUGGCACAUCCCCUUCGUCGGGACAAGUUACGCAGUCUGCAAUUGGCGGAGCUUAUAGUUUGCUUGCGAACACAUCAAUAACUGCUGUGUUGUUCUUGUACCUACAGCGGCAGGAAAUGCUUAAACAGCAACAACAACGAAGAAGGCGGCAACGAAUAAGUGAUGGGGUGAGUGCGUUUGAGGUAUCUGAAUAAAAUUAAGGACAGGAUUGCAGUGGAGCGCUGAAGAGAGCGACGAGCAAAACGUACUUUCAACUAAAAUGCUAAUAUACAUACCUAAGCACACAUGCAU